UUGGGUGGAUAAUACGGAUUACGUUGUUAUUGCUUAAGAAUACGCGUAGUCGAGGAGAGUACCGGCGGCGGGCAGGCAGGCAGGCAGCGCGACCGCCCCCAGCCCACCAGCUGGCUCCUCACCUCCUCUAGUUGCCAAGCUCAGGGAUGUUUUGUCUGUCUGUGUUCCUCAACCCUGGCCACUCAUGCAAGCACCCUUGCCUACCUGCACGCUGAGCUGCACUGCCUUGGGAAGAUACCAGCCUGUUACCCAGCUUAUCUGCAUGGUACAACUUCACCUUGUUCCCCCCUCACUCUGAGGGAUUAGCAUCCAAAGGAAGCCAAAUUAGUUUUGUAUCAAUUCACCCAGGAAAGCGAGUAGCCAAACCGACCAGAACAUUCCUGCUGGCAGAGCUGAGUGCAGAAGGAGGCUGGCAGGGUGUGCUCUUUGUGUGCUGCCCAGCUCCACCACGCUGCUCUCAGAGGUCUGUGGUGACACCGUGGUCCUGCUAUGGGGCAGCCUCACUUGCUGGCUCCAUGCUCCACAUGGCAGUGCCAGUUAGGAUAUGUAUAUAUAGAUAUGUAUAUGUAUAGUACCCACCGGGAUGUGGCUGUUGCUUCUCUCCGUAUGUCUUGUGGCCAUCUGCGAACUGAUGAGGAACCAUUCUGUUUCCAUUUUGCUGAUGGAAAAGGAGAGGCUUUGAGAGGCUGAGUGAUUUGUCCAGGAUUAUGCAGCAAAUCAAUGGGAGAAAUGAGGAUCAGGCCAUUCCACACAGGAGUGCCUUUAACUGUCCCGUGGGCUUUCUAGGGAAAGGCACACAGGUCCCCAAAGAGGCCACUUCCAGGAGUGUUCCUCCAUUAUUUCUGUCAGAUUAUUGCUGUGAACAGUGGAGAAAUGCAAAAUGUAUUAUUCAUUUCUCCUACUCCUAAAAUCAAUACCUAUCAAAAUACAAAUACAAUUUAAAUCAAAGGGCACUUAUUGAGUGCAAAUCCUACUAAUUAGGUAUGAUUUCCCAACAAUUUCUUAAAUUAUUUAUCCAAGGGAUGGGUGGAAGGCACUUUAUAUGUCCCAGAGUGAAUAUUAUAAACCUCUUGUCAUUAUACAGAAAAUGUGAAACGUAGUGUAAAUGCAGUGUGAUUUGUAACCUUGAUGAACUAAUGUAAUAUCAAUAGACAUCAAUCUGAGCAAAAAAUAAAUCUGUCUCAUCAUCACAUCUAACAAGAUAUGUCAAAAGUCAAUAACCUUGUGAAAUGGACACGUAUCAGUGAAGGUUACAGACUUUGCUGCUAGGAAUCAAUUAAAAAUGUAAUACCCACUUGCAAUGGAAAUUACUACACCAUCACUGAAAAGGAGGUUUACAUCAUGCAUGGACAUUUGUCAUAAAGGCAGCUCCCUUCAGGCUGGCUGUUGGUUCUGUAAGCAAUUCCACUGUAAUAUAUGGCUUUUUUUUAGUUUCUUUUUUUUUUAUUAUUUUUUUUAUUUCUAUGCUGGUAUUGCUUAGUAUAACCUCAUAAUCAACAUGCAAAAAAUAUUCAUGCCAAUUAAAUAUAUUUUUAAAACUUGUACAGAAAAGAGCCAAUGGUUUUGAAGAUUUUUGUGUACAAAUUAGAAAGCAGCUUUCCUGUAAAAUGAAAGAUUUACCAUUGUCAGUCAAUAAUGUAGAUCAAUGUUCUUCAAUUUUUAAUCAUAAGGAUUUUUCUCAUGCAGCUUCUUUGGAUCUUAAUUUUCAAACUUAUACUCCCAUCCACACAGCAGAUCUUAAGUUCCAUCACACCAACCAUGCAUCAAGUGAAAAUUCUUGGUGCCAUCAAAUAGAUGUGAUAACCACUCACCAAAUGCUUUCAAAUCAGUGAUUUAAAAGAAGAGUAUGAAAUAUGUUUUCUCCUCAAUUUUUGAAACUGAUGGAUGAAAUAUUCACUUUUUAGGCAUUAUACUUUGCCCAUGUCAUCUGAUAAUAAUUUCAGGGCAAGUGUAACUUGAGGCCAAAACUAAAUAUCUGAAUGGGGAGGGAGGUCCUAUGGCUUCAAAGACAGUGGUAUGUGACAGCCUGAAGUAAAACUAGCAGAGUAAUGCAGAGCUUAAGCUUUUAGCUUGGUGCUUUCUUCUGCAACCUUAAUGGUGAUCAGGCCACCAGGAGCCUGAGCAAAAAGCUGUAGUGGUCCCAAGUGCCUGUGUGGGUCAGCUGCUGCAGCAGCCUGCGAUUGCACAGCAGCAUUGGCAGUACUUAAGUGCAAUUGAGCAACUCGGGAUGCAGAGCUGCAGUUCAGAUUUCAUGGCAUUUUAAAGCACAAGUCAGAAUUUUAAUGGUAUUUCAACCUGCCUUAUUAGUUGCACAAUAGUUGUCUUUCACCCAGUGUUCUGCAAAUUCCUUCCUGGUGGUCUGCAAAAGACAUGGUUUGAAAGUCAGAUCAUUGGAGGUGAACGCUGGGUGUGGAAAUGGAUCUUGAACUGAUGGGAAGAAUAAGGGAUUCUGAAAAAGCACUGCAACGAGAUAACAUGGGAUAAUAAGGGUAGUAGCAGAAAGUUGAAAAAAGCAUGGCAUGAGUAAAUUGGAUAUAUAGGAUACAUUCAGCUUCAGUUAUUCAGCUAUCCUGUUUGUAUUUUUGUUAGUUUUAAUUAAUGAAAGUUUGUCCAGCAGGUAUGAAAACAAAGUUCAAUCUCAGAGUGUUUGAAUCAAGUGAAAACAGGCAAUACUACAUUUAAUGUUUUGUGUUUUAUCUCUCAAUUUAAAUGUGAAUGAGGUAUCUGGAAGGAAUAUCAAACAUUGCAGACACUGCUUAGUGAUAUAUUCUUCUUAUCUUCAUUGUUUUCGUCUGUCUAAUGCCUUUCAUACAUGCUUAAAAAGUGUGUGAUUGUACACAUGAUUGUAUAUUUGUGACUGCAAAGGUUACCUAAAUUAACACCAUGGACUAAUUCUAUUUUAAAUGCAGGGUAGAAGCACAUCUGUUUCAAGCAGGUUUGUGAAAUGCCUUUUGUGAGUUCAAAUCACACACAGUAAGGACCACUUAAGUGAGCCCCUACACACACAACUUAUUUGCAACAGUACUAACAAAUGUAUCUAUAAAAUGUCACCAGCAUUUCGGUGUUCUGAAAUAGGCUCGUCGUGUCCACUGCCCUGGAAAAUUCAGCCUUCUGUUAUUGUGUAGAGGAUACUAAAGAAAAGCAUGUGUUCCUCCUCCUGGAGGAUGUGUUAUCUACUGUACUUGAUAGAUAUUUUGUAUUUUGCUUGGGUCUCCCUCUGAGAGAGGCAUACCAUUUUUUUUUUUAGUUGUAACACUGCUUUCUAGCCAUGAAUUGUUAUAUAAGAUCAUGAAUAUAAUUGAGGUAAUAAAACCAAAGCAAAAAGUCUAGGUUAUCUAAUCUCUGGAUUGUAUUCAUAGGUUUUGCUGUAUAUCACAUUGGUUUCAGAAGGGUAUGGUUUGGAAAUGAUCACACAUGGAAGACACCAGCUGAGGGGCUACACCUUACCUAUGAGCCGACAUUAAAUAGCUCACUUAGCCUUUUUCCACACACGUCCUUUCCAAAGAUAAAGGUGUGUACAGCCUGCAGUUAUCUACAGUGGGCAAACUGAAAGUAAACAAAUAGAAAAGUGUUCAUUUGACACAUUUCUACUGUAAAUUAUUUUGCCUUAAACUGUGGAAGGAUCAAAGAAAAGCUUUGCAGACCAUCUUCUCCAUCAUGGAGCUGGGGUGGCAGAGGAUUGCAGGGGUGCUGCCUGGCCUCUGCUGAGGUGCAAUCUGUCCUGCACAUGUCCUGUGAAGCAGGAAAGUGCUGUUAUAUAUAAUUUUCAAAGACAGAGCUAAGACAUGGACAGAAACCAUGGGAUUUGCACACCUAAGGGAACUCUGAAAAAGCUGAGGGGUUGAAGAGAGCUGUGUGGAGGUCACAGCUAAUAACCUAAACCAUUAAACUUCAACCAUCCUUACAAAAUCUGUGUUGCCAAAUCUGUUGCCACAGAAAUCUGAAAUCAAACAUUAUCAGCCAAGAACAUCAUGCUAAUUAAUUGCCUCAGGAGGACACAAUUUCCAAGAUCUAAUGAAAGAUGGAAUCCAGCUCCCAUAUGUCCCAUUUGAUAGCCCAGGAAAACACACACACAUUUUUCAAAGAAACAGUGACAAAUGUCCAAGUACUUGUCUCUCAGCUGAAUAAAACUAAUCACCAGGCCCAGGGAUAGAAAUGGCUGCUCAUCAGCACCCAGCCUGAAAAGCCAGCCCAGGAUAUGUUGCUGAUGAUCCAUUUUCAUUCAGAAUGUUGAAGGCAGCUUUGUAGGUGACAGCUGAGCACCAGAGCACCUCUGUUCUGCCCACAGAACAGCAGUACUCCUGCCUUGCAUGCAGCUACCCUGUCACAGUGCUGGUUGAUUUUAAAAAAAUAAUUAGGAACAAAAAAAAAGUUAGCAUGUCAGAUUCUUGACAAAAUACUGGGGAGAAGACAGGGGUAUCAGUGUAGUCACAGAUUUGUGCCAGGGCUGCCUUGCAGCGCUGGAGGCUUGUCCUUGCUUGAACUUGACAUUUCUGUAGAUGGGAUGUUUGUGCCAGAAUGACAGUGGUGCAUAGCCCCGGGGAAGCAGUGAGGGCUGGAGAGCCUCAGCCCUCCUGGCAGAGGCAGGCCUGCGGCUGUGGAAGGAGAGCCCCAUGGUGAGUGGGAAUGUCCUACCUCUGUGUGACUCUAAGGCAUAUGGAAUUGUUCAGCCGGCUUAAAGACAUAAUAUUUCUUUUAAAUAUUUAUUGUUUGAAGGAUUCUUACAUGCAUGAGAAGGUCUGUACUCUGUGCAGACAGCAUGCUGUUGUGGCUGUGCUCACAGCCUGCCACGUUUCAGGGAGAUGCAGGUGUCACCUCCAUGCACGGGAAGCUCCCCGUUCCCGCUUUGCUGGUGUGAGGCGUUUCACACAAUUCCCAGGCUUGUUUGAAUAGACUGGAAUGAUCUGCUUGUUGUGUGUUGAAUGCUUGUUGUAGCAGACCUGACCAUGAGGCAUGAGCAUCUUUUUCUUGCCACAGCAACAGCCCCAGCCUGAGUGCCAUGCUCAGAGGAUGGCAGGGAACUUCUCAGUGCUCACUGAGCAGAUUGGGAGGCCCUUGUGCAAAAAGGGAAGGAACAAUUAUAGAGCAGGAUUGUGACAAGCCUUGGUACCUAUCCCAGGAUUUCAGAACAACCCCUUAUCCACACAAACAUCAUUAGUAUUUGUUAAGUGAUCACUUCUUGGAAACAGAAAAUUUUCACUUUCCUCUUUCACCUAUUACAUAAAAUUCAUGCGAAACUUCUAAUCUAAAAAUAUUAUCUUGACACCCUGCUUAGUACAAAUGGGCAUGAGGAAAACAGGUACAAGUUGCACAGCAAAUUUACACUCUAAAUAUUGAAGAAAAUAUAUUUUAUUCUGUCUCUCCUGAGGAGAUUAAAGAGA